UACGGAGGGGGCUAGCGUUGUUCGGAAUUACUGGGCGUAAAGCGCACGUAGGCGGCUUCGCAAGUCAGAGGUGAAAGCCCGGGGCUCAACCCCGGAACUGCCUUUGAUACUGCGUCGCUCGAAUCCGGGAGAGGCGGGUGGAAUUCCGGGUGUAGAGGUGAAAUUCGUAGAUAUUAGGAAGAACACCAGAGGCGAAGGCGGCCUGCUGGACCGGCACUGACGCUGAGGUGCGAAAGCGUGGGGAGCAAACAGG
rnacentral:rRNA from 1 species